rnacentral:tRNA from 1 species
GCACGAGUGGCGGAACUGGCAGACGCGCUGGACUUAGGAUCCCGUCCCGAAAGGGGUAAGAGUUCAACUCUCUUCUCGUGCA